UGAGUAACCUGCCCUUCACUCUGGGAUAACUCCGGGAAACCGGGGCUAAUACUGGAUAUGACUCGAACAGGCAUCUGUUUCGGGUGGAAAGAUUUAUUGGUGGAGGAUGGACUCGCGGCCUAUCAGCUUGCUGGUGAGGUAAUGGCUCACCAAGGCGACGACGGGUAGCUGGUCUGAGAGGAUGGCCAGCCACAGUUGGGACUGAGACACGGCCCAGACCUCCGUAGGGACG
rnacentral:rRNA from 1 species